AUUGAACGCUGGCGGCAUGCUUUACACAUGCAAGUCGAACGGCAGCGGGGGCUUCGGCCUGCCGGCGAGUGGCGAACGGGUGAGUAAUGCAUCGGAACGUACCCAGUCAUGGGGGAUAACUACGCGAAAGCGUAGCUAAUACCGCAUACGCCCUGAGGGGGAAAGCGGGGGAUCGCAAGACCUCGCGUGAUUGGAGCGGCCGAUGUCGGAUUAGCUAGUUGGUGGGGUAAAGGCCUACCAAGGCGACGAUCCGUAGCGGGUCUGAGAGGAUGAUCCGCCACACUGGGACUGAGACACGGCCCAGACUCCUACGGGAGGCAGCAGUGGGGAAUUUGGACAAUGGGGGCAACCCUGAUCCAGCCAUGCCGCGUGAGUGAAGAAGGCCU
rnacentral:rRNA from 1 species